rnacentral:lncRNA from 1 species
GAAAAAGAAAAGCUUAGGAUUUUCUAGGGAAAAAAAGAGAGAGAGAGAGAUCAUCUUUUCUAGCUAAAGAAUAGAAGCUUUUAGAUUAUUCCCCGGGAAGGUUUAUAGGGAAAAUAAAUAACUCUAAGAAGAAUGGCAUGUCUAUUAUGCGGCUGUUAUUAAGAUUUCAAAAAACAAGGAGGGAUACUGCAGAACCCAGUUUAAGUGGUGAUUGUCAUCUAGUGGAGAUCCACUUUUAACCCAAGAUAGUUUUAUUUCAAACCGAGGUCAAGGAAAUGAAAGGUCCUUUUGGCAUGCGUCAGAUAAAUCAGGCUGCCUUUGCCAAACCUCCUGCUGAUAAAUCCUGUGUUUCCCUGGUUCAACUCUUAAACAGUUUGUGAGAGUGGGAGAUGAAGGACAAGGCAAGAUCUCCUACUCUAGUCUCAUUUUCCCCAUCUAGCCGUCACCUUCAUUUCUUAGUUCCUUGAAAAUAGAAAAACAAAAAAGCCAUCCCUGCCAUACCUGGUGGGAAAGCACUGGAGUUGAACUUGUCACCCUCUUAAUCCUUUUAAGAUGAUAGAGCGCUGAUUUGUACAUCUAAUUACCGAAGCCUAAUUAUUGCGGCACCGAAAUCAACUUGGCACAAGAAAAUGUGUGCCACAUUCCCAGGAAUAAGACCCAUUGGUCUCGUUCUUUUCAUGUUAGUGGUGACCUUAUUUACAGUCUUGUUCAAAAGUAAACUUUGUCAGAGAUUCAAAGUCAUCCCUUACAGGCAUCUUAAGUGCAAGCCUAAAAUGGGUGUUGUGAGAAGGUGGGUAAUGAAGUUAGGCUUCACAAGUGGAAAUUACUAAUUUAUUAGAGUUCUUUGAGAUGGAAAAUAGGCAUGUAGAUAAAGGAAAACCCAUAGAUGCAUUCUACAAAAUCUUUAAAAAGCACUUUUGAAAAUGUUCCACACUGAGAGUUACUAAUAAAUGUAAAUGCUAUAUUCCUAGGGUGAAGGAGAACUCUUUUAUCUCAGAAACUAAAGUUGCUUAAGAUAUGAAUAUAAAAUGUUCCAGAACAUGCAUGAUUAUUAUUAUUUCUUGUAUAGGAAGAAACCAGAAAGAAAAAGAAUGGGGCUCCCUGGAGUCAAGUUGUGAUGAAUUAUGUUUAACACACCUAGUUCAUGAUGUUAAUGAGUGGCAUGGUUCCAGGGGCAUGACUCACUACUAAAUACUUUGUGUCAGUAGAUCAUGACCAUGACCCAGAUAGCUUUAUUUUAAAAUCUUAAACCCCUGUUUGAAAAAAGAGCUUCGUAUUUUAAAUAUUUUAGACUCAGCAGCAAUAAAUGUUUUUCACACAUUUUCGUGUGUAUGUGUGUGUGUGUGUGUGUGUGUGUGUGUGUUGAGCUAGGGAUAGAAACACUCUAUCACUGAGCCACAUCCUCAAUUGCCUGACAUUUUAGAACUAAUUUGUUCUUUGCCAGGCACUCUGCUGAGAACUUCAUGUGAAUUAAUUAUAUUAUCAUCAUUUAUAAAACCAUACAGAUAUCACUGUAUCCAUUUUACAGGUUAAGUAACUGAGGUACCAAGCAGUUAAAUGAUUUUUCCAAAAUCAUGCAGUAAGUGGCAGGGAUCCAAGUAUGUAAAGUAAAAUUGUUCUUAAUGAGGAUGUAGGAGAAGAAAAUGAGCAGUAUUGAUGAUUCAGUCUGCAGUGCUUCCCCAAAGACCUUAGGUAUAGUCACUUCUAUUGAACAUUGUACUUCAGCUAGGAACAUAUUUAUUAGCCUUCAUUGGCUAUUAAUUUUUUGGAAUAGGUACCACCUGUUAGUAAUAUGGCAUUAAUGAUGAGAAAGAACAUAAUAGCAACAAAUCACUGGAUUUUCCUCUCUAUUUACUGAUCAGGAAUCAGUUCCUUUUGUUUUGAUUUUGCUUUGGGAUGUGUGUGUGUGUGUGUGUGUGUGUGUGUUCAGAUUCAGGCAACGACAUAGGUUUAUGGAGGCUUAGUAAAUAGAAACAGUGGAAUAAGAAGUGAAAUCAUGGAUUUAUUUUCAAAAGUGAAUCAAGUGUGUGUGUGUGUGUGUGUGUGUGUGUGUGACACAAUCAGAUUAUGCUGUGGACCUGCACUGGGAGAGGCUGGGGAUAAGAUUGAUCAGAGUUGUCCUUACUUUUUCACAUGGCUCUUAACAUCUUCCUGUUAUGGUAGGAUAUGAGUGUGGACAUUGAUAGUAGGUAUAACGUGAUAUUUUAUUUCAGGAUAGCAUUAACUAAGCAAAAUCAAGAGUCUGUCAGAUUCUUGGGUGAUAGCCAUGAGUUAACAGAAAGAGCCAAACAUUUUAGUGUAGAAUUUCCAUGAAUCAUUGAAUCUGUAUUACUGUAUAACUCCAUCUAUGUAGGUGUUUCAUAUGCAUGUCUUCUCUCACUGAUAAGAUUAGAAGCGUCUAGAAAACAAGAACAGUGGCUACCACUAUUCUGUGCCCUUUAACACCCAGCAAAACAUGGACAUCAAUAAUUAAACUGAAUUCAAUUGUAAUAUGUUAAAUCAUUAAUUGCUCUUUGUCUGUUUUUGUGAUCUGAAAGGUGAUGUGUCCCUGUCUGUGUUAUUCAAUUUAAGGUUUCAACCACUUUUCAUUUAAUUUAAGUUGAAUGAGAGAAAAUGCAAACUACAUGACACAUCAUGUAUUAAUAUUAACUUCAUAUACAAAAUAUUUUCACAAAAGCAAGACUUGCUCUCAGCUAUACUUUAGAAAAAUCAUAUCAUUGUACCUUUAUCAGUUUGGUUAGUAACUAAAGAUAAUGGGUAAAAUUUCUGGAAGGAACUUCUCAUUAAAAUAAAUAAAAACCUAAGGCUAGUCCUAAUACAAAAAAAGUUUGCAUACUAUUUUUUUUCAUGGACAUCAUAAAUUCACCAAAGCAUCUUACACAUUUUGUAGGCUACUUCUCAUUAAAUGAAAAAAAGGGGGGGGGGGAAGCAUUUACCAAUGUCCCAAAGAAAUAACAAUCUAAGUCAGCAUGAUUAUAUAUUUACUACAAAGUACAGUACAUUUAUUCUAACAUUUCCCCACCUGGAAAAACUGGGCUUAAGUAUCUUCUGUAAUCAACAAGCAACACUGCAUUCGUCCCAAAAUGCCAUGUCACCUUUGUAGCAAAGUCAGACACUUGCUGGAAUGGGACUUGGGAGUGGUGAUGGUGAUUGCAAAGGUUCUGAUGUAGAAAUUGCAGAUGGAGAGCGGGGCUCUGGGGAUGGACAUGGAAAGAAGCAGAAAAGAGCCUGGAGAAAAGGCUGUCAUAUUUUCUUGGAAGAACCGCCAAAUCAGAGAGCAGAGAAGAUUUCAUUGGAGGAGCUCCGUCAACGGCAACUAAUCCUGUCAUAUUGAAAGCAAAUUGUAAAUGUUCUCUCCAGAAAUUGUCCGUCCAUUGCAGCUAAUCGAACACAAACACAUGAAUACAGACACGCUCCUGCUGUACCCAAGCCGAAGACAGCCAGGCACAGAGACCUACUACAGUGAGCGCGCGCGCGCACACACACACACACACACACACACACACACCAGCUUGCGGGGUUGGCCAGAGCCUUGGAGUCUCAGAUUCCACUAGGAACUCGCCAGAGGGAUUGGAAUAAGUGUUGCUCUCCCCACACUAAUUACUACUUCCCCAGGCACUUUAGUGAAGAAAUGAAUCCCGCCCAGCCCGCCGGCACAUCCAGGUCUCGGUUCUAUUUUGGUCUCCAGACUUAUCUUCGUGAAGUCCAGGUUUGAAAGUCUCAUUUGCUUCUUUUUUGGUGGUUUGGUGUGGAGGGUGGGGGCAGCAUCAAUUUAACUCCAGUCUAAAUCGCGAACCUGUCCCACAGUGUCCAAGUGACUGGGACCGGUGUGGGGUGCGCGACUGUGCUUGCGCGCGCGCGCAAGCCCCGCAGCUCCUGCCAGAGCCUUUGGGUCCGUAGUCUCCCCGCCUCCCCCGCCCCACCCCUCCAGUGUCGCGGCGCCAACUAAUCUUUGCCUUUUCUCUUUCAAGAUCAAGGGAGAAAGCAAGGCGGAGGCUGGCUUUGGACUCUAAGCGGUGCGCAGCUCGCGCCGGAGUGGCCGACCCAGAACCCGCGAAGGGUUCCUCGCUCCAGCUAGCCAAAUCGCAGCCAGGGGUGACCACAGGAGCUAAACCAACAGCAGGUAAGAGCGCCCUGCUACCCAAUUCUCCGCUUGCCCACACCAGGGACCCUGGUGCCAGGGGUUUCCUCCCAAUCUCCCUACCCUGUACACUGAGAGGUCGCGGUUUUCGGGGAAAUGGAGGGGGGUCCCUGACACUUGCAUAUUUUCCAAAGGAAACUUUAGCCCCUGAGGCUUGGAGUUAUGAGGGCAGCGAUGGUCGGUCUAGAAAGAAGGGGGAAAUGAGGCACAGCGCAGGGUGCGGGCGCGAUUACGCGGGUCACGGAGACCGGAGGAAUGUGGCGAAAGCAGCGUGGGAGACGCGCUGCCCCGCAGCAUCACUCCUUAGAGCAUGUCAUUCUCUCCACUGUCACUGAACCUUCUCCCAGUCAACCCCUCAGCCCAGAUGCCUUCAUGGAAAAGACUAGGAGAGCUUUGCUUCUUCCGCCCUCAAGCUCCUUUCUGCUCGGGGUCUGACCACGUCGUCUGUGCGUUAGGGUGGAGGCCCUGCUGCUCUUCUCUCGGUGUUGUCCCUGACUCCGCCUUCGGAGCAGCCCCUUCAGCGCAGGAGAGAGGGUUGGCAUUGCGGUCCCUGUAUCAAGGCAAAGGGGCAGGUGAAUAAGAAUGGGGCACGGUUUCCAGGACAAAAGAGAAGGAAGCGUUCAGCCACCCAAUCCAAUUUGUGACAGGCGCACAAGGUUGGCGGCCCGCCGCCACUGUAAGACAGGGUCCCAGCUCCGAACUGGUGAGGUGCAAGAUAGUGCCUGGGCUUUGCCACCCAACUCGCGGUGGGGACUGGAUCAGCCGACAGGGCCAUGAGGUCGUAGACAGGAAGCUGCGUGCCCUGAAUGUUCCUCGCUGGACCUGGGCAAUCCCCGCUAACUUGUAGCUUUCGGAACCCGCGAGGUGCGGACGGUCCAAGCGCAGUGGGGCGUAGAACACGUAGAAAUUCCACCUGUGCUCUCUGCCCCGCGCCCCUGGUGUGACCCCCGUGGAGUAGGUGGAGGUUUGCCUAGCAGAGAGCUCCUGUAGUGAAAUUCACCCAAGUUAUUGACUCAGAGUGGGCACACACCCCGAGCUUCCGUGCUCCUUCAGCACCGCAAACCUUUCUCUACUUCCUGCAAGUAGCUGUCCUCGAGGCUGCUCUGAGCCAUCAAAUCAUCCAAGGGAGGGUCGACCGACCCGCCAGUCCCUGUCUGUGAUUCCAAGACUCUAGCAUAUAUGGAAAUAUCCGCGGAGAGAAUCGCUUGAGAGGAGGGAGGAGAGCAAAAAAAUGGAGGUAAACGCUUAAGGCAAAUAGAACUGCCCGCUGACAUGUCACCCAAG